GCGGAUGCUUCAUUGGCUAAGAGAGGGCGUGGGAGGCCCAGAAAGGAGAAGGCAUUGGAAACUAGCCACUUGAAAGCCGCACAGAUGACUGAGGGUCAACUUGAAGCUCUGACUGCACAAGCUGCAGACCAAGCUGAGGCUGUCCAAAAUGAAGUUGAAGCUAGGGAUUUGCAAUCCUUGGGUACUUCUUUGACAGAGAAGAAAAUGACUGAGAGUCAACAGGAAGCUCUGACUGCACAAGCUGCAGACCAAGCUGGGGCUGUGCAAAAUGAAGUUGAAGCUACGGAUUUGCAAUCCUUGGGUACACCUUUGACAGAGA
rnacentral:lncRNA from 1 species